CCCUUAGACGUUCUGGGCCGCACGCGCGCUACACUGACCAGUGCAAUAAGCAUCCGUCCUUGGCCGACAGGCCCGGGCAAUCUUUGAACGCUGGUCGUGAUGGGGAUAGACUUUUGCAAUUUUUGGUCUUCAACGAGGAAUUCCUAGUAAACGCAAGUCAUCAACUUGCAUUGAUUACGUCCCUGCCCUUUGUACACACCGCCCGUCGCACCUACCGAUUGAAUGGUCCGGUGAAGCCUCCGGAUUGGCGCGCACCCCGGUGCCGCCGAGAAGUUGGCUAAACCUUACCAUUUAGAGGAAGGUGAAGUCGUAACA
rnacentral:rRNA from 1 species